rnacentral:rRNA from 1 species
AAACCAGCACCUCAAGUGGUCAGGAGGAUUAUUGGGCCUAAAGCAUCCGUAGCCUGUUCUAUAAGUUUCCGGUUAAAUCCAUUAGCUCAACUAAUGGGCUGCCGAAAAUACUGUAGAACUAGGGAGUGGGAGAGGUAGACGGUAUUCGGUAGGAAGGGGUAAAAUCCUUUGAUCUAUUGAGGACCACCUGUGGCGAAGGCGGUCUACCAGAACACGUUCGACGGUGAGGGAUGAAAGCUGGGGGAGCAAACCGGAUUAGAAACCCUAGUAGUCC